ensembl:lncRNA
CAAAAAUGUUCACAGCUUUAUUUAAUCCAAUUUUAAAUAAUCAACAUACAUUCAUAUAAAAAUCACUUGACAAGAUCACAUAUUGGAUUCUUUAAAAUCUCAACACACAUGCACUUGUUAACAUCCCUUUAACAUUUAAGGUCUUUGCUCAAAAACGUCACAAAAACAUGGCUACUUAGAACAGUACAAUAAAUCUGUGUGUAACACCGAAUGGGCCUUUAAUUUCAUAUAGUGUAGUUUGGUACUGCUCUUCCAGUGCGAGUUUGAAGGAUUCCUGCGAUGCCUAGUCUCCAUUUAAGCAGCUUUUCACAAAAAUAAUAAUAAAAAAAAUAUAUAUAUAUAUAUCCCUAGUUUUUUAGUGACCUGCGUUUAACAGUUGCUUGAUACAGAAGGCAGAGGGUUUCCCUUUAAAAGGGCAUAUAUUCUACACCAAAGUACCAGUGACUGGCUCAUUCCCUUUAAAUAGGAAUCACUGAAGAUAAGCCAAAAUUUUGGCCUCAGAGGUAUUAAAGGACCCUGAUGAAUGUACCAGUGCAACUAUCAAGACACAGGUCAUAUCUGAACUCUAUUUUUUUGUUGACAUUGCUUGCUAAAAACCCUGUACUCGUCUCAUGCCGACUAAACUCAGAACAUCCAGGCUUCUGGUGAAGUAGUGUACAUGAAGUCCUGGAUAAGGUCUUCUUCCAACCCGCCAUCUCCGAUUUGGCUUUUGUUCCGCCGCAGGGAGUCAAAUGGAUCAGAGGUCAUGGUUGUGUUCAGGGCACCGGGCUAUGCUGCACCUUCUCGGUCAUCUGCUUGGCACUGUAGUAGGACAGGCCAAGACCCAUAAUGGCAAGCAUCAUGGCAAUUUGGUUAAGGGAGCCAUCCUGAGGCUGGGUCUGAAUCUCACCAGCUACCUGCCUCUGAGAACACACAUGAAAGAGACGGAAGUAUCCAGGAGUCAGGCGUCCCAGUCUGAUAAUCAUGUCUGUUGGUUCUGAACAGUAUGGAGCUGGAACUGCAGAAAGAAAGAAAAGAAAAACAGAUGUCGUCCAUAAAGCUUUGAAACCAACCAGCAAAUAACAAUCAUUGCAUUCAAGAGAGUGAGAUCAUUUUAGCCAUGAACACAAACAAGAACAGCAGUUUACCAGCCACGGAGUGUCUCUCUAAAAGAUCUGAGCUCUCGGCACUGGUCGGGUUAUACAAGUCAUGGAUCGAGAAAACGGACACCUCUAGCCUUGAGCAAAAUUGUCAAACUAGACUAAAGCUGAUCCUGGACUCCUGCAGAGAAGCAGAUCCACGUGCCUGCAUGUCUGACUUCCAUGUGGUCUUAGUUUGGGCACAAACUAACUGGCCCACAUCCACAGCACUAAAUAUAAGGGGUGCAACACUUCUUACAUAAGCAUAUUUGCGCAUGAUCUGAGCAGUGAUUGAAGCACUGCAGAGAAACACACAUACCGAGGCAUGGCUACGUCUUCUUAACUACAUGCACCAUUUUACAGUGUUCUACGGAUUUAACGGGAAAGCGAGCCAGAAGUUCAAGGAUCCAAUAAAGUUUGCAGGUUUAGAGGUUUUGGGGAGUUGGUAGACAAGAGGAAAAGAAAAAGAAAAGAAUAAGUCCCGCUUCAAUCUGGAAAAGGUGUUAUAGAGUCUCAAAGUCUUUUAAAAUCUCUGGAUAUAGGAAAAGAGUGUACAGGAGGUGAAAGCGGGGGGGGAGGUACUCAUCUACAUAUCCAGUAUCUGACCAACCUGAUUGCAACUACCACUCUCGCCAAAACAGGAUGUAAAGAAUGAAAGGAUAUGUAGUUUGAAAACUUCCUCCAGGGUUAGAAAAAAAAAAAAAAAAACAUCCAAAAACACUAACGGAUGUAACUGAAAACCACCAAAAAAAACCCUUUGUGGUUAAAACAGCUAGUAAUACACUCGACUCAAAGCUACAGCACGAGGAACUGUGGAAACUCUAAAGCUCCAACCCUUUAUAUACCCUGCACAGCCAAUCACAAAGCGGACUGUCGCUCUCUCACUCCAUCAGACACACCUUCUCACACACACACACACAGAGUUGAAUACACUGCCAGCUGUCAGAACGCAUCAGGCUUUCUAUGGCAGCCACCACAACACUACACAAGGAAAGGGAAACCCUCUAAAGUUCCUCACAUGGUUUGUUCAUAUGCUCAAAAACACCAAUGGGUUUCCGGUUCAAUAAACAGCUAGCCGAUGCUAACAAAUAGCACGCUGGAAUCUAAAUCACAUACGCCGUCCACCAUGGUGAACCAGAUGGCCAUUUUGAUCCGAUUUACUAUUACAUAACCCUCCUCCACUCCACUUUGUGACUGUUACAGCUAACAACUCGGCUAGUCAGCCACAUAACAUGGCAACGGUUGCUGUUAAAAGUAGCACUGCCUAGAUAUUCAAAUUCCAUCAUUUUUAAGAGGAAGGAGAUUAUAGCCUGCAAAAGUAAUAACUGGUUCCUGGAAUAUAAUCCAAUCCAUUAGGACCAUUUCAAUAAAGGGAGGUUAGCAAGACAGAAUUGGAGAAUUGGAGUAAACAAAAUGGCAGAACUCAUGAAGUACUUCAGAUUAAGGGGAGAAAUGCUGCAUAUUGUGAGGGAAAUUACUUAUUUUUAUUUUGUAAUAGUUUUGUUCUUUUUCUGUUCAUCUCAGGAGAACGCCUAAGGCGGCCAUGUCAUGUCACUGAGAUCAGUACAGAAAGUUUAUCUUAGAGACACAAACAUGUUCUUCUGUUCAAGGUUCAUCUGCACAUCUUCCAAGACCCUGAAACAAAGUCUGUUUGAACUGCCUCAAACUGCUUCUUAUCGGUACACAGAAUUAUGUCAUGCUCUGCAUUUCAUAUAUAUAGUAGUGGUUCAGCACAAGCAUUUCAGAGCGCUCUCAUUCCAUCCUGCUUUAUUCCAUCCUGUAUUAACCAUCUUUCUGUAAUGAAACUUUUUACCUUCAGUGGAUGAGUCAGCGAGUGUUGUCUAAUUUCCCCAACAAUUUGGACUGAAAGUCAGUGUUGCCGUGCAGGCGGUUUUCCCCUUGUUGUGCACAGUGAAAGGUUGAUGCAGCCUUUCCACUGACCAGUAGGAAUCUUUUUAGAAUUUUAGAAUUAGAAUUUUAUGAAGUCAUUGUGUAUUGCUGUCUGUAUGGAAGGGAGUCAAUGAUAAGAAAUGUGCGUAUGACAUUGAGAGAAGUAUCACAUGGAGCGAUUUCUUAUAAGAAGUUCCAGGAACUUUGCCUCUGCAAUGGCAGAGAUAUUGGUGUUUCUUAGAUCACAGCUUCAAAACUAAGACAUAUACCGACAGGUAUAUAUGUAUAUGUAUAUAUAAUAAUUUUAUAUAUAUGAAUGAGAGAGAGAGAGAGAGAGAGAGAGAGAGAGAGAGAGAGAGAGAGAGAGAGAGAGAGAGAGAGAGAUUUCCCCUCAACGAGUCAGGGCAGAGCUAAACGUAUGUCAGUAAUGUUACAAUAUGACUUUACGGUAAACUAUAAACAAAACUUAACUGUGUAGCUGAAGAACACAUGCUAUGAAGCGGCCAUCUUGGACAAUUAGAUUAGCUUUUUUUUCUUAGCACAAUUAACUCGCUCCCUCCCCCCAUUCAAGAGCCUAUUUAGCAGUCGUGUUACAGUUAGCAACACUGUAGAACAUGCCUCUAAAGCCCGUUUUCCAAAAAUCUCAAGUUUCAAGGUACAAGAAUUUUGGAAGUUAAAUAAUGAAGCCAAUAAAUCCACUUGUAAAUCAAACUUGUAAAUACAAUCUCCUUGCCAUUUGACUUAAUGACAAUUUGAUUACAAAGUCAAAAUGUUUUUUGGGGCACAUAUUUAAUGGUAAAAAUAUUUUUGGGGUAAGACAGAAUUAUUUCCUUGUCAGCUCCAUUAACUACAUGGCACCACUGCAAAGCUGUUAACCAAUCAACUGUGUAAACUGUAAAUAAAAUUUGUGUCAACCCAUUCCUUUAACAGAUUGUCUGUUAUGAAUGCUAUGCUAACGCUUACCAAAUCACAGCCAAGCACAUCAUCCACAUUGAGCAUUUAAAUUGUAUACAGGCUAUGAUUGCCUUAUUUCAUUUUACACUCCCCAAAUUACUGGCUAAAACAGAAGGUAUAAAAUUACAUGUUAAAACAUGGUUUAGCCAUUUAUGCUAACAGGUGCUUAUGCAGUUUUUCCAUUAACACAAUAUUUAGGACAUAGCCACACACGUACCAACAUGCCUGUAUUUUUAUACUAUGUAGAAGUUUAGAAAGAAUUUUAUUUUUUAAAAAUGAGUGAUUUAUAAGGAAAGUAAAUGAUUCUACUUAUGACCAGCAUGAUGCUCUUUUAAAAGAGCGACUUAAAAAAAAAAAAAAAAAAACCUCGUUAUUUCCCCUCAUUUGUUACUCAAUUUAUAAUUAGGGCUGGCUGACACUGCGAUAAAUUAUAUAGGUCACAAUACAUCUUUUUUUAUAGCCUUUAAAAAAUUUAAUUAAAUAAUUACAAAUUCUGGAUUUGAUGCUGGUUUGAAUUUUGUACUGGUUUAAAAGUUGUAAACUGUUAACUAUUUUUACAUUAUUUAAAUUUUUUUAUUUUUAACUUUUCCCCAUCUUCAGUGUUCAUUCCAUAACCUUCGGUUGAAUGUUUUGUUUUAUAAAAUCCUCCAAGUGGUGAUAAGAGCUUCAGGUUAGGAAGCAAAGAGAAUUAGUGAAGUGUCCUGGUUUUUUUUUUUUUUUUUUAAAUCAUUUUCUUUCAUGCAUGAGGGCUCACAUCUCUAGCAGUCAACACGCUGAAGCUCCACUUUCAAAGAGAGCACCUAAUAAUAGUAACAGUUACGGGUUCUUUGUCUUUUUGUCCAUUUGCCUGUAGUGUUUCCAGACCAAUCACAUGAGGGCUAUUUACAGAACUAUAAAUAGUGAUAUUGUCCAGUCAGUAGUCGCUAAAACAGCAUCCCCCAGGCCUGAUCUGAUCUAUGGGCUCUCAGUUUCUCUCAUCUCUGAACUGUGUCUUUUCGGCUCUGGCUACAGCAGAAGUGGUUUUUGUCUGGCAUUUGAGGCUUACUCCUCUUACAGUGAAGUUCAUCAAAAUUCUAACCAGGACGGAUUUUCUAAAUGUAAUAACUCCGUGGAAUACCAAGACAAGCCCGCUUCCGGUCUCCACGGAAUACACUGAAUACCAAGAACCUCCCAUUCUUCUUCCUCCUACCGGUUUGUACUGCCCUCACUCCCACCUCCCAUCCCAACCUCACGUGUCUGAGGCAUGCAUGCUGCAGUUGCCAUGUGUCACUGUGUUUAAAAAAUGUACAGUCUUGAUUCAACAUGGCUGCCGUACGUGUCCGAGCCUCAGCAUACUCCCCAUAGCCAAACACUUUGAAAGCUCCAGAAUGUGACCAGCAUUGAGGGUAACUACCACAAGGAUUGCUGGACGUUCAAAAGGCAUCUACAGAGAACCAAGAUAUCAAUUAUUUAUAAACCAUCUUUAAAAAUAACUUGACCAAGAUGCAUUUCAACAUGCAACACAAAGCUAGUUCAUCUGGACCACAAGCUUGAAUUAAGGCAUCAUGUCUCGACCCCCUUGAGAAAGAAAGGUGGUUAUGUUGUCCCAGUGAAUGUUGUUUUUUGGCCCAAAUACAGGAAGUGAUCAAAUUUGCAUCGUGGAAAUGUUAGGAAACCAACUAAAAUCAAUAUAACUCCGGUCAAACAAGCUAAAAGGUGAUAAAGUGCCCAUAACAAGAUCAUACACCAUCACUUGGUAUUAAAAUGCUAAAAUUAUCUUGAACACUGCAUCCUAAUGAUAAUAGCUCAACAUAGAGGUUCGUUAAACACAGUCAGUAUGUUUAGUACAUUUACAUGGACAACAAUAAUCCAAUAUUAACCUGAUUAAGACAAUAGUCUGAUUAAGAAACUAGCAUGUAAACAGCCAUUUUUAAUUACCUUAAUCCGAUUAAAGUCAUACUCAAAGUAAACACAAAUCAAAUUAAGACCUGUGGAGUAUUCCUGUUUUAGUCGCAUUAUCAAUGUAUAUUACAGACAUGUACACACCUUAAUCACACUAUUAAGGUCAUGUAGGAGUUUUCACCGCAUUUUGUGACAGGACACGUACACACACACACACACACACGUCAGUGCUCAACCGUUUGACAGCAAACAAGAAAGCACAGCUGCGUCCAAAACUGCGUGGUAGGUAAACACGCGGUUUCAGACACAGCCCAUGGCUUCAAGCAGUCACCUAUUAGCACGUACAGCAUGACAAAUAAUUAACCGCAAUUGAAGCAUUCGUAAAAAUAAGAACACCCAAAACUGUAUACGGUACCAUAACGAAGACAAACUAUAUUAAAACAUGAAAUUCUGGAGGGACGUCGGACGGCGUGGCGCGGUGACGUAAUGACGUGUACUGUUAAUCCAUCUAUGUUCUAUAACAUGUAAAACAGGAACAUGAAAGGAAUAUUCUAAAAGCAACUCAUGUAAACACCUUAAUCACAACAUUGUCUUAUUCAGAAUAAAGUCAAUAAUUAGAUUACCGCUGUCCAUGUAAAUGUAGUCAUUGAAAGCAAGUCUGAUUAGACUAGAUUAAUCAGAUUAAAGCCAUUCUGGUCCAGGAGAAAAAUCGCUUUACGACAAUAUAUUCUCUGCCGUCCAGACGUCUAGGUGGUGACAUACAACGGCUGAAGUGACUCACUGAAAUAAAUAAAAGCACAACGUUUUCACAAAAUCCCAUGCAGCAAUCUGAGAUGGUGAAUCAUAUAAUGUAGAUCUGGGGAGGGAUGGAGGGGAAAUCCACAGGGUAAACAGUUUCUGGAUUUUUAUUUAUUUAUUUAUUUAUUUAUUGCUUCAUUUUUUAACCAUGAUCCUGAAAUCACACCAGAAAAACAGAAUCAAACCAAACCUCAGUACGAUUUUAGAUUUCAUAGAACUGUAAUCAAAUUGAAUCUUCCCCAAUGGUGUUUUAAUAAAUCACAACGCACCAAAAAAAAAAGAAAAAAAAGUACAAAGUCAUAUUUCACAUGCCAUUUUUGUUGUUGUUGAAUACAUUUCUCAUUUUAAAUCUGUUCAUCUGAAAUGGGUUGUGUUUAUAAGGCAUAUAUUCUCAAAUAAGUUUUAGUGUAGCCUAUUAAACGCAGUACAAUGGAUAUAAAAUUCAUUCCGUAUCCAAAAUGAUGUGAGCUUUGAGCUGUUAAGUACUGGUGUGUUAAGUGCUUCAUUUUCUUGCACAAGUG